AACGAACGCUGGCGGCAUGCCUAACACAUGCAAGUCGAACGAGACCUUCGGGUCUAGUGGCGCACGGGUGCGUAACGCGUGGGAACCUGCCCUUAGGUUCGGAAUAACUCCCCGAAAGGGGUGCUAAUACUGGAUAAUGUCUUCGGACCAAAGAUUUAUCGCCUUUGGAUGGGCCCGCGUUGGAUUAGCUAGUUGGUAGGGUAAAAGCCUACCAAGGCGACGAUCCAUAGCUGGUCUGAGAGGAUGAUCAGCCACACUGGGACUGAGACACGGCCCAGACUCCUACGGGAGGCAGCAGUGGGGAAUAUUGGACAAUGCGCGAAAGCCUGAUCCAGCAAUGCCGCGUGAGUGAUGAAGGCCUUAGGGUUGUAAAGCUCUUUUACCCGGGAUGAUAAUGACAGUACCGGGAGAAUAAGCUCCGGCUAACUCCGUG
rnacentral:rRNA from 1 species